AGCCGUGCGGUGAGCACAGAGCGAACAAUUCUUUCGCCUUUUACUAAAGAAUACUGUGUGCUCGCAGCUUCAAGCGGCAAACGCCUAUUUUUGGAGGGGAUCUCUCUCAUGAGUGGGU